UAGCUUUGACUUGUGCAUCCAUGAGGUUUUCUUCUCCCUUACUAAAAUUCAUCAAUUCUUCAGCAGUCUUUAUCAACACUGUUCCCUGGCAAAACAAGUAAACAUUCCCUUUAAAAUCAUUUCACUACGUUGGUGUUCAAAGUCAUUAGAUAAUAGUUGACUGAAGAAAUAAAGGUUUGGCAAAAAAAUAUGAAGAUAUAUGUGCAUAUAUUAUGAAGCAGCAGAAUACUGUAUGUGUGAAAUAGAAACUCAGCUUGCUUCUAGAACCCCCUGUCAAAACAGAUGCAUCUGCUUUUGAUAAGUACUUAGGUGGAAAAGUACUUUUAUCUAUUUAUUUAUUUUGAGACAGAGUCUCACUCUGUCACCAUGCUGGAGUGCAGGCAGGAUCUCGGCUCACCGCAACCUCUGACUCCCUGGUUCAAGCGAUUCUCCUGCCUCAGCCUCCCAAGUAGCUGGGAUUACAGGCAAGCGCCACCACGCCCAGCUAAUUUUUGCAUUUUUAGUAGAGACGGGGUUUCACCAUGUUGGCCAGGCUGGUCUUGAACUCCUGACCUCGUGAUUUGCCUGCCUUGGCCUAUGCUGGGAUUACAGGCCAAGGCGGGUGGAUCACUUGCAGUCAGGAGUUGGAGACCAGUCUGGCCAACAUGGUGAAACUUUGUCUCUAUUAAAAAUACAAAAAUUAGCCAGAGAUCACUUGAACCCAGGAGGCGGAGGUUGCAGGGAGCCAAGAU
ensembl:lncRNA novel transcript, antisense to CCT8